UAAUACGGAGGGUGCAAGCGUUGUCCGGAUUUAUUGGGUUUAAAGGGUGCGUAGGCGGGUCUGUAAGUCAGUGGUGAAAUCCAGCAGCUCAACUGUUGAAUUGCCAUUGAUACUGCGGGUCUUGAGUGUGGCCGAGGUGACAGGAAUGUGUGGUGUAGCGGUGAAAUGCAUAGAUAUCACACAGAACACCGAUUGCGAAGGCAAGUCACUAGGCUAAAACUGACGCUGAGGCACGAAAGCGUGGGGAUCAAACAGGAUUAGAUACCCUGGUAGUCCACGCCGUAAACGAUGAUUACUAGGUGUUCGUGUGUUUAAGACAUAUGAGUGCCCAAGCGAAAGCGAUAAGUAAUCCACCUGGGGAGUACGACCGCAAGGUUG
rnacentral:rRNA from 1 species